GGGCGCAAGCCUGAUCCAGCCAUGCCGCGUGAGUGAUGAAGGCCUUAGGGUCGUAAAGCUCUUUCGCCAGAGAWGAUAAUGACWGUAUCUGGUAAAGAAACCCCGGCUAACUCCGUGCCAGCAGCCGCGGUAAUACGGAGGGGGUUAGCGUUGUUCGGAAUUACUGGGCGUAAAGCGCRCGUAGGCGGNNNNNNNNNNNNNAGGUGAAAUCCCAGGGCUCAACCCUGGAACUGCCUUUAAUACUGGKAGUCUUGAGUUCGAGAGAGGUGAGUGGAAUUCCGAGUGUAGAGGUGAAAUUCGUAGAUAUUCGGAGGAACACCAGUGGCGAAGGCGGCUCACUGGCUCGAUACUGACGCUGA
rnacentral:rRNA from 1 species